rnacentral:misc_RNA from 1 species
ACCAUACCAUUUCAUAAAUAUAUUGAUAGCUUAUCUUUAGGGUUUUCAGCAAAAAGAGGUUCUUUGGCCGCUGAGUAAUUGUUACAGAAAACCAAAACAAAUUUCAAUCAAAUGGAGAAACGGAAUACAUCCGCUAUGCAGGUGCUCUAUGCAGAGCUGUCAGCCGCGAAAGCCCGAAGCGCCCAGCUGGAGGAGGAAAACAUUCUGCUGCGCCAUCGCCUCAAUCGAGCCUCUUCCGACCACAGCACAAAUGCGGCCAUAAAUGUGGAGGCCAAAAUCCUGGCCUUCCAAUUGGAAGAGGAACGCGAUCGCCUGGUGGAAACAGUCCAGAAGCACAAGAAGAAAUACAACAAGUUGCACGACGCCUACUUGGAGAAGGUGAAGCGUUGUCGGGCUCUGGAGGAGAUGUUCAAGCGCCAGAAGACGCUCACGGGGCUGGUGAUGAAAUCUGCCUUGGAUCAGCGAAAUGAAGAACAACGUUUGAUGAUUGAGAAGCGACAGUCGGCGCAAAGUGAAUUGAAUGAGGUGGAACAGCUGAAGGCCAAGGUGGAGAAGCUGCAAAGAGCUCUAGAUGAAUCCUAUGAUAUAAUAGACGAAAUGGAUUUCGAAUUGGAGAGCGUGGAUCUGCUGGAGAUGCAAAAUCAGAGCCUCCGUGAAGAGUUGGCUGCCUUGAAGUUGGAAACCGAAGCCUCUGGAGUUUCUUCGGAAAUCGUAGAGGAUGCCCCCCCGAAAUACGAGGAACACGACUCUACUGAGUAUCGAAAGCGACUGAGCUCUUCGAGCAGUGAGUCCAUUCCAAAAGAAGAUGAUUCCGAUGCCCAGACCAUCGAGAGAUUGGCUCUAACUAAUAGUCUCAUUGAAACUGUGGAAACUGAAAGCAACGCCCUCAGAAGAGAACUACUGAGAUCCCGCUGCCAAAGAACCAUACGCGCCAAGCUGGAAGCGGAAGAUCAGGAUCAGGACUAGUUUAGUAAAGAUAAUGCCUCUAUAGUAUAAGCUGAUGAAACCUUUCGUUAAACUUACGCACUGCGGGGACCGCCAAACCCACAACCGUCGAAUCAUAGAACUGCUUAGUGCGUCUGGCUAGUUGGUCGCUGGAACUAACCUAGUUUCGGAGCCAGCUACGCCUAACAAGUGCACAUACCAGAGAUUGCUUUUAAGAAGGAAACACGUAAUUAAUUAUAAUAUUUUGUUAAUGGCAUCAGGAUUUGGCCUCUGCUGAUCUAUGAAGGUUUCAACCCCUCCGCCUCCUCUACCAGCCUGGUAUUAAUUUUCCAAUCGACACUCCACCGAUCCAUUAAAAAUGACAAUUAUUUUUAUGACUUAAUGCAGCCCGAAGAACUAGUUGCCCAAUGUCUAAUGUUGCAAAUUAUUGACUAAGUAAAUUAAUCUGCACAUUUGUUGGCGGGACUAGACCAACUAGCGCGACACCUCACCCACUUGGCCGGGGGCUUAUUAGUUUGCGUGCCAAUUAAAUGCCUACACUGAUAAAAAUAUUAUAUGGGAU